rnacentral:rRNA from 1 species
GAUGAACGCUGGCGGCGUGCCUAAUACAUGCAAGUCGAGCGAACAGACGAGGAGCUUGCUCCUCUGACGUUAGCGGCGGACGGGUGAGUAACACGUGGAUAACCUACCUAUAAGACUGGGAUAACUUCGGGAAACCGGAGCUAAUACCGGAUAAUAUAUUGACCCGCAUGGUUCAAUAGUGAAAGACGGUUUUGCUGUCACUUAUAGAUGGAUCCGCGCCGCAUUAGCUAGUUGGUAAGGUAACGGCUUACCAAGGCGACGAUGCGUAGCCGACCUGAGAGGGUGAUCGGCCACACUGGAACUGAGACACGGUCCAGACUCCUACGGGAGGCAGCAGUAGGGAAUCUUCCGCAAUGGGCGAAAGCCUGACGGAGCAACGCCGCGUGAGUGAUGAAGGUCUUCGGAUCGUAAAACUCUGUUAUUAGGGAAGAACAAAUGUGUAAGUAACUAUGCACGUCUUGACGGUACCUAAUCAGAAAGCCACGGCUAACUACGUG